ensembl:lncRNA
AGAAGAGGUACCUCUCACACCACUGCUCAUUUUACACAGGUUAUCAUCCAAUAAACAUACUGAAGCAAUUGCAGUCAGCAUCUAAACUAAUUUCUGAAGCAAUACAGCAUUGUUAAAAUAAACUACAGUGCCUUGCAUAAGCAUUCACCCCCUUUUCCAUGUUUUUUACUUGAAUAUUAUGGAAUAUGUUUUAUGUUCAUUACAUAUAAUCCCACUUAGGUCCAUUUUCAUUCCAGGUUGUAACACUGUAAAAUGUAGAAACUUUCAAAUGGGCCAAAUACUUAUGCAAGACACUGUCAGCUGGCUAGCUAAUAAAUGUAUAUGGCACUACAAGUGCUGAAACUUUGUUCUGUUGGACAGUCUAAUCACAUUUAUUGUGUUUCUAAUACAUGAUAUGUGUUGAUUUGGUUGUUUUCUUGAAGGACGAAGGCUGCUGCCAGCCCAGCAGGAGAGUCUAGAGAGUAUAGCGGCUCAUCAGCCCGACAUCAACACAUCAUGCGGGACUCGGUGGGUGACUGAGUAUGUGGAAAACUUUGGUUUGUCGCAACCUGUCCAUUUACCUUGUGCUUCGAAAAAAUCUGCACGCCGUUUGGUCUCGACCUUUCGGAGAAUACCUAACCCUCAUUUUGCAGACAAGUAUCAACGCUCUGAAUACCAGGCCAUCUAUGGUCCUGAGGUAGUAUAAAAUUCUGUACUAAUUAUAAAAGGGCAGUGACAGUAGUACAAUUUCCAGACUCCCUUACAUUUACAGAAUUUGGAACUUAGCCAGUUUUUCUACAACUAGUACUUAGUCCAGCCCUUGUGUCUUGUGCUGACUCUCUCUGUUCUUACCAUAACUAUCCUUUUUGUUCUUUUUUCUGGCAAAUGAAACAUAUU